GUUGGUAGAGCGCACCCUUGGUAAGGGUGAGGUCCCCAGUUCGACUCUGGGUAUCAGCACCA
rnacentral:tRNA from 9 species